GGACCCGCACAAGUAGUGGAGCAUGUGGUUUAAUUCGAAGAUACGCGCAGAACCUUACCAACACUUGACAUGUUCGUCGCGACUCUAAGAGAUUAGAGUUUUCGGUUCGGCCGGACGAAACACAGGUGCUGCAUGGCUGUCGUCAGCUCGUGUCGUGAGAUGUUGGGUUAAGUCCCGCAACGAGCGCAACCCUUACUUUUAGUUGCCAUCAUUUAGUUGGGCACUCUGAAAGAACUGCCAGUGAUAAGCUGGAGGAAGGUGGGGAUGACGUCAAGUCCUCAUGGCCCUUACGUGUUGGGCUACACACGUGCUACAAUGGCAUUUACAAUAGGAAGCAAGAUGGCGACAUCAAGCAAAUCCUAAAAAAUGCCUCAGUUCGGAUUGUACUCUGCAACUCGAGUACAUG
rnacentral:rRNA from 1 species